UGUCUCUCUUUUCCUCUCUCAUUUGCUCCCUCUCCUUGUCCCUCUCGCUGUCCUCCCUCCCUCUUCGGCUCACCUUGUGUCGAUGCACCCAAGAAAGUUACGAUACGGACCCUUUGGUGAAUUGGUUGCCAACCAAUACCUCUCUCUGUCUCUCUUUUCCUCUCUCAUUUGCUCCCUCUCCUUGUCCCUCUCGCUGUCCUCCCUCCCUCUUCGGCUCACUUUGUGUCGAUACACCCAAGAAAGUGACGAUACGGACCCUUUGGUGAAUUGGUUGCCAACCAAUACCUUCUUCGGUAUUGGUUUGGCAAACAUUGGAUUGGUGUUUAGAAUAAGAGUUGGGUUUGAUUCUAAGAUGAAGCAUGUUCCAUUAAAUUUUUUUGCUAUCUAAAAAAUUACUUUUAAGGAAAAAGGAUGUUGCAUGUGAGAUUCCAAAACCAUGCACAUAGGUGCAUGGAUCUCCUUGUUAACCACUACAACAAAGAACAUAUGGUUAGAAAUAGAUGCAACGAAGAAGAUAUGGUUAGAAGAAAUAGAUGACAUAGUUAAACUAUUGAGUGAAUUAGUAUUAAAAAUUUGGACUUUUUGGGCAUCCUAGAAUUGGAUGGGAAGCUAUUAUGUAUUAUAGUCAAUAUGGAAUGGCUGGUAUUGUACUAUUAUUAAAUAACUUUUGCUAUCUAGAAAAUUGCUUUUGGGGGAAGAUAAAUAGCACCAUUCGCCGAACCGUCCCAAAUCGGACGGUUUCGGAUGUUUCGAGCCAUAUCGGCGGCAAAUCGGGAUGGUUCGGACGGAUAAAUGAGAAUAUUUGAUGAGGGAGA
rnacentral:lncRNA from 1 species